GUUGUGGCUCAGUGAUAGAGUGCUUGCCUAGCACACGUGAGGCCCUGGGUUUGAUCCUCAGCACGACA
rnacentral:tRNA from 1 species